rnacentral:rRNA from 1 species
GGGAGCUUGCUCCCGGAUGUUAGCGGCGGACGGGUGAGUAACACGUGGGUAACCUGCCUGUAAGACUGGGAUAACUCCGGGAAACCGGAGCUAAUACCGGAUAGUUCCUUGAACCGCAUGGUUCAAGGAUGAAAGACGGUUUCGGCUGUCACUUACAGAUGGACCCGCGGCGCAUUAGCUAGUUGGUGGGGUAAUGGCUCACCAAGGCGACGAUGCGUAGCCGACCUGAGAGGGUGAUCGGCCACACUGGGACUGAGACACGGCCCAGACUCCUACGGGAGGCAGCAGUAGGGAAUCUUCCGCAAUGGACGAAAGUCUGACGGAGCAACGCCGCGUGAGUGAUGAAGGUUUUCGGAUCGUAAAGCUCUGUUGUUAGGGAAGAACAAGUGCGAGAGUAACUGCUCGCACCUUGACGGUACCUAACCAGAAAGCCACGGCUAACUACGUGCCAGCAGCCGCGGUAAUACGUAGGUGGCAAGCGUUGUCCGGAAUUAUUGGGCGUAAAGGGCUCGCAGGCGGUUUCUUAAGUCUGAUGUGAAAGCCCCCGGCUCAACCGGGGAGGGUCAUUGGAAACUGGGAAACUUGAGUGCAGAAGAGGAGAGUGGAAUUCCACGUGUAGCGGUGAAAUGCGUAGAGAUGUGGAGGAACACCAGGUGACGAAAGGCGACUCUCUGGUCUGUAACUGACGCUGAGGAGCGAAAGCGUGGGGAGCGAACAGGAUUAGAUACCCUGGUAGUCCACGCCGUAAACGAUGAGUGCUAAGUGUUAGGGGGUUUCCGCCCCUUAGUGCUGCAGCUAACGCAGUAAUCACUCUGCAUGAGCAGUA